UGGGAGUCAUGUCUUAGUUCCCUUAG
rnacentral:piRNA from 1 species